rnacentral:misc_RNA from 1 species
UUUCCGUAGGUGAACCUGCGGAAGGAUCAUUAUUGUAUAACCGAGAAGCGAGGGCUGUCGCUGACCCGAAAGGUCAUGCACGCCCGAGUGCACUCACACACAUCCAUCUCACCCCUAUGUGCACCACCGCGUGGGUCCCCCUUUGGCUUGUUCGGAGGGGGGCUUACGUUUUCACACAAACUUUGUAUGCAGUGUAGAAUGUAUUUUUUGUUUUUGCGAUCACGCAAUCAAUACAACUUUCAACAACGGAUCUCUUGGCUCUC